rnacentral:lncRNA from 1 species
AAGUGAGCAAGGGAGGUCAUUCGCAAUUCUGUCACUCCUAAAUUUGUCUGAACCUUUUUGGAAGGCAUUUGUAUUUCCUGCCAGCACCACCUCUUGGGGGUGAUGAAUUCCAAUAAGUUUCAAUCCGUUUAUUACUCACUGUGAGAGAAAUUGCUUCCUUUUAUGUCUGGAACUAAACCUGGAUCACAUUUCACAGGAUAUCCCCUAGUCACAGAGUUUUGGAAUCUGACCUGGAGGCAAAGGUAUGGAUGAGAUCACAUAGCAAGGAGAUUGCUGCUGAGAAGGAGUCAAAGCCUGGGUUUUACUUGUGGCCUUGCUGCUACACCAACUUUACUGACAUGCCAUUCUGGGAUAGUCUUUUCUCUCUGAGGCUUCAAGAGAAGAUGAGAAUACAUUCCAUCCCUACCUCUUGGAGUCAUUGUGAGGACUCAGAUGAAGUGCAGCAUCACGCAACAGAACUCAGAUGCCCUCACUGCAUCUCAAAUGCACUCAGGUAGGUACGAUGAUGGUAAGAGUUCAUAUUUACUGACUACCUACUAAGUGGUUGGUACUAUUCCUAGUAUUUUGUUUUAACUUUCGCAUUUAAUCCUAUGACAGCAUACCUAAGAAGUGACUAUUAUUUCUGACCUCCAUUUAGAGAAAGCAUGGAGACACAUGCUGUUUCGGCACUUUCCCCAAGAUCAGAGAGUUAUAGGAGCUGGAGCUGGAUAGAAGCCUGGUGUACACCUCUCUGACUAUUGCUUCACUGGGCCACCUGGCAUCCUGUGGAGGGGCUUCUGAGCACCUGUAAUCUGAUGGAGAGCAUGGCAGAGGCAGCUGGAUGCUAGACACUGAGGAGACACCUGAGUCUGACAAGUGGAAAGAGAUGUGUGUGGGGAAAGGAGAUCAGGCAAAGGCUCCGCAGUAGGAAGGCCAGAGUGGCCCCUGAGACCACAGGAAGAAAAGGGAAGCAAUGCUGGACAGCCGGCCAGCUCCUGGGCUGUGGGGCCAGCAGCCAUUAGAGACAGUCAGAGUAGAGGACCCUUAGACCCCACCAGACCCUGCAGAGGAUGAAACAGAAGGAUGCAAAGAGAUUUGUCCUCUUAAGAGAGGAAACAAAUACAAAUCACAAUGAAAUGCCACUUUCCUGCAUCGGAUUAACGAAUACUCGAAAGCUUAAUACUACUUAGUGUUGGCCAGGACUUUCCUUUUGCACAAUUUUGAUGGGCGAGUCAAUUGGGAAAGUGUUUGUGAGUGCAGUUUGGCAAUAUGUGUGUAUCUACAUUUUAAAUGCACAUACUUUUUGGUCCAGAAAAAGUCCCCUGAGGAUACACAUAUACCUGCAGGAUAAAUGCACACAUACAUAUAUUUAGGGUUGGCAUUUUUACAAACAGAAAAUUAAAAAUGAUCUUCAUCAGUAGGUUAAGCAAAUAAAUUAUGAUAAUACAAACUAGGGAAUACUGUGGCUUCGUAUUACUCUUAAAAUAAAACCCCAAGCCCUUUCCCAUGGCCUAUAAGGCCUGGGAUGAUUUGGUCCCUUCCCCGUUCUCACCCUAAUUUUCCACUGCUCUUUCUCUCCUCCUGCUCCAGUUCCUAGAGGCUAUAGCUGUUCCACAGACCAAGGCAGUUCCACCCUUAGGGCCUUUGCUCCUGCAGUUUCUCCUUCUUGGAAGGUUUUCUCCCCCAGAUAUUAAUACGACUGUCUCCUCACUCUAUUUAUACCUCUGUUCAAAUAUCAACAUGUGGUGAACAGCUUCGAAAAUGACCCUUAACGACCUGCCCUCCUGGUAUGGAUUCCCUCCCUUCUAGUGUGAGCUGGACCUAGUGACUUACUAAUAAUGAAUAGAAUAUUUUAAAAGGGGGGAUUUCACUUCUGAGAUCUUAUAACAGAAUACCAUGACUUCAUCUUGCAUGCUCUUUCUCUCUCCCUCUGUCUUCCUCUCCCUGUCAUUCUUGCUUGUGAGUAAGCAGGCUGCCAUGCUGUGAGCUGCCCUAUGGAGAAGUCCACAUGGCAAGGAACUGAGGGAUACCUUCAGCCAACAGCCAAUGAGGAACUGAUGCUCCCAGAGAACAGCCUGUAGGAAACUAAUUCCUGCUAACAACCUUCAGAUGACUGCAGGUCUGGCUGGCAACUCAACUGAAGCCUGAGAGAGAUCCUGAAGCAGCGGGUGCAGCUAAGCCUCUGCUGGAUUCCCAUUAGACAGAAACUAAUGUAAAGUUUUAUGAGGACAAAACUCUUGCUUAUCAUUGUGUUCCCUCGUGCCUAGAAGAGUGCCUGACAUUAAGUGGGUGCUCACGUUUGCAUCACCAGUUUUCCAUGAGAGCACCAAGCCUGUGAUUUCAGUAGAAGCUUAACUGCUCGUCUUUGAGGCACCAAAUCUGAAAAGCGAUCUUCCUGAAGACCAUGCUAAGGCAAGAACAUCCAUAUAAGGGAGAAUUCCUGAAAGUGUUCUAACACUUCAGUGGAAACUCAUCAAUGCUCUGUACCCAGAAUAAUCCCAUUUCGGAGGGUGCAUGGAUGGGGCAGAUGCAUGAUGUGCCCUGAGGAGCAGAGGAAACAUGGGCUUGGGUUGUGAAGGAUCUCAGAGAAGCUCUCCUGGACUGGCCCAAAUGUCUCAAACUUUAAUGUGCACAUAAAUCUAUUAAAAUGCAGCUUCCACUUCAACACAUCUGGAGUGAGACCAGGUAUUCUGCAUUUUUAACAAACUCUGGUGUAUGCUGGCGGAUGUCUGGAGUGCUGCUGGUCCAUGGACCGCAUGUUGAGUAGCAAGGCCCUGGAGGAAAUCUUGUCCAAGGUUGCAAAUUCAAAUGUCUUGGGGACCAGGUAGGCAAUGAAGAAUGACAGAGAUGGGAGUAAGACAAUUUGGAAUGGCAGAACCUGUGAGGAAAUGGAGGACAAGCAAGUCCAUUAAAGGUAUCCAAAAGCAUUGGAAGAAAGAGAGGAGAGAGAAAGAGAGGGAGGGAGCAGGCGGAGAAGGGAGGCUUUUUUCUGCAAUGCUGCAGAAAAGCCUUUUAGCCUAGAGGGAUGGAGCCCUGGGUUAGACUUCAUGUUGGGGGUUCUUUGGUCCUGCUCUAGCCAGGCAUCUGGGACCCUAUGUAUUGUCCUGUGUUCCGUCACUUUAACCCUGCCUGAAGUCCCUG